AUUGAACGCUGGCGGCAGGCCUAACACAUGCAAGUCGAGCGGAGCGGCGGACGGGUGAGUGAUACCUAGGAAUCUGCCUGGUAGUGGGGGGUAACGUUCGGAAACGGACGCUAAUACCGCACACUAUCAGAAGAGACUGGGUGGGAAUAGCUAGUUGGUGAGGUAACGGCGACCCAAGGCGACGAUCCGUAACUGGUCUGUGAGGAUGAUCAGGCACACUGGAACUGAGACACGGUCCAGACUCCUACGGGAGGCAGCAGUGGGGAAUAUUGGACAAUGGGCGAAAGCCUGAUCCAGCCAUGCCGCGUGUGUGAAGAAGGUCUUCGGAUUGUAAAGCACUUUAAGUUGGGAGGCGUUACCGACAGAAUAAGCACCGGCUAACUCUGUGCCAGCAGCCGCGGUAAUUC
rnacentral:rRNA from 1 species